AGGACGAACGCUGGCGGCGUGCUUAACACAUGCAAGUCGAGCGGAAAGGCCCUUCGGGGUACUCGAGCGGCGAACGGGUGAGUAACACGUGAGCAACCUGCCCUUAGCUCUGGGAUAGCUCCGGGAAACCGGAAUUAAUACCGGAUACGACCUAGGCCGACAUCGGCCAUGGUGGAAAGUUUUUCGGCUAGGGAUGGACUCGCGGCCUAUCAGCUAGUUGGUGGGGUAAAGGCCUACCAAGGCGACGACGGGUAGCCGGCCUGAGAGGGCGACCGGCCACGACUGGGACUGAGACACGGCCCAGACUCCUACGGGAGGCAGCAGUGGGAAUCUUGCGCAAUGGGCGAAAGCCUGACGCAGCGACGCCGCGUGGGGGAUGAAGGCCUUCGGGUUGUAAACCCCUUUCAGCAGGGACGAAGCGAAAGUGACGGUACCUGCAGAAGAAGCGCCGGCUAACUACGUGCCAGCAGCCGC
rnacentral:rRNA from 1 species